rnacentral:lncRNA from 1 species
AUGACUCUGCCGCGUAUCCAUUCCGAGUGUGAGAUGGAGGUCGUUUUGCCGUCGGAACUCUGCGAUGAAGACUGCCCGCGGUUAACACGCUGUCUGGUGAUUCUUAAGAGAGACCACUGGAAUUUGCUGCAUAGGGCAAAUUUGUGUGCUCACAAAUUCAUCUUCUUGGUUGCUUUAAUCUUUGUCUGUCAAACUUUGUAA